AGCCCACAGCUGGAUGCAGCACUCCAGUGGGGACAGUGUGGUGCUCUGGAAUCCCUGGAGCCCAGGAGCAUGAAUGCAGGGAUACAUGGAAUAAAAGCAGCACUUUCAGAGUAAGCUUGAAGGGAGAUAAUCUGCAUCGUCAAGUCACUGAAAUUUCUGAUUCGUGACAUCUCUUAAUAAAUAAG